rnacentral:pre_miRNA from 1 species
AGGCUUGUCAGAGUGGAUGCGAUGUGUAUGCUAAAUAUUACUCAUAUCACAGCCAGCUUUGAUGAGCUUGA